rnacentral:tRNA from 1 species
CAGGGAGACAACAAAAUGUUUAAUAUUAUUUUGUCACCUUAGGUCGAUCGGUAUCUCAUGUUCUUAAUUUAUUAAGAAUUUCAUUUCCUAAGUUUUUCUAGGUCACACCCAUUAUUUUCCUGGGCCAUUAGCUCAGGUGGUUAGAGCGCACCCCUGAUAAGGGUGAGGUCCCUGGUUCAAGUCCAGGAUGGCCCAUAUCUCUAUGUUGGGGGUAUAGCUCAGUUGGUAGAGCGCCUGCUUUGCAAGCAGGAUGUCAGCGGUUCGAGUCCGCUUACCUCCACUGAUUACCACCUCUUCCAUAAUCUGUAGAAAGGAAAAUUUUUGAGUUGUGAUCAUAUUUCUGAACGAAUCUAGCUUCCUAAUGAAACCAUUAAGAUGCUGGACUCAUUGAAUUAAUUUCAUUGUUUUCAGAGAACCUUGACAACUGCAUAGAUUAUUUUUAAAGACAAUAAGCAUCUUUAAUGAUGCAGAUUUAUUAUUUGUGCAAAUGCAUUAAUAACAAUUCUAUUAAGCUGAUGCUUCAAUUAUGAAGUUAUU